UAGCUCAGUUGGAGAGUGCUUGCUUUGCAUGCAGAAGGCCCUGGGUUUGAUCCCCAG
rnacentral:tRNA from 1 species